ACUGUCCCUAGAGGUUUUGCAGGUAUGGCUGCUGUGUCUCUUGUAUUCAAGUUGGUGGCAGGGAAGAGAGAAGCUAUGUCUACAUUUACUGUUCUUCCUAUGAGCAUCUGAUUCAUUAGUGUCCCAACAUU